ACUGUGGAGUGUACAAAAACUUGUGAGUAGUGUGUUGCCUGCAACCACCAAAACAUACACAGCGAAGUAGUAA
rfam:Clostridiales bacterium CHKCI001 isolate CHKC1 genome assembly, contig: {contig13}